GGCCCCAUCGUCUAGCGGUUAGGACAACGGGUUUUCAGCCCGUUUACACCAGUUCGAAUCUGGUUGGGGCUA
rnacentral:tRNA from 1 species